GCGGGAUCGAGAGGCCCCGCCCAGCGGACAUGACGUUCUUGGGCGUCCAGAGCAUGAACCUCCACCUCCCGUUUUCUAGAACCCGACCUUCCUCUUAUCUGGGUCCUGAGCCCUUCCUUGCAAGACUCCUCUGACUGAAGCUAUCUAUCUGAGUGUGAUAUUAAGAAUCUUCCCGCCCAUGUCCUUGGAAAAAAGCUGUUCUCUCUCUUGCCCUCCAUAUAAAGGUCCUAAUCCCACAAGGGAAAAAGAAUAAGGAAGUAUGGCUGGACACUGUGUGAGGGCUCCUUCCUUCCCUGUCAUGGAUUAAACCCUAAUCAUCCAAAGUCAGGAGAAUUGAGAUGAGAAAUAUGCAUCUCCAACUGAGGCACAAAGGUUCCCGGAGGUAUACAGAUGGCUGAUGAGAGGGACAGGAAGAAAAGAAUAGAAAUUGGCCAGUUAAAGAAUCUUCACUUCAUAAGUGGGUUUGCACAGUAAUCGCUCAGACUGGCUAUUGUCAUUUCAUCAAGAAGUGAAGACAGCACGUUAGGUCGCAUCCUACUUCUCAGCUCCCAUUCUAAAAUCCUGGUACCACCUAAUCACCACCAGGAAGGAAACGCACAGUGUGGACCUGUGACUGUUGUUUUCCUCCUUAAUGUAUCCUUUGAUGCCACUUUUCUCGGCUGUUUGCCAGACCAAAUGUUCGUGCUGCCAUCAUAGUGGCCUCUGGGAAGAUGGGAAGUAUCCUUUCCCCUUCUCUAUUAAUCUCUGACACCAUUUCUCAUCGGGGGAGGUGUCUCUCUGUGUCCCAGGCUGUCUUUGAACUUCCAGGCCCCCAAGUGCUAACACUACAAGUGGGAACCAGCAUACCAUCGUUUUCUUUAGCCUUAUGACUCCCGUGUUUUUUAGACACUUUAGGCCAGCCUCUCUUCCUUUUGACUUGGUCUUUGGAAUCCAGGCAGUGUGUUUUUUCUAUCAGUCUAAGGAGGAACCCAAAGAGCAUGGCUCUCUGGGGCUUCAUUGGUAAACAAUCGGAGCAACACUCGAUGUGCAUCCUUAAAAAUCUUCCCUCGCAGCCUUCCUAGGCUUUUUGAACCUGAAAUGUCUUGGCCCCUCUUUCAUCAGUUUAGCAGCUGGCCAAUGCCGGUCACAAUGCUGGGUCUAAACAACUAGUUCCCAGUAGCCCUAAAAGAAUUGUUUUGGCUUUGGAACUAGGAAUGAGCUCCAAGGUACCAAGUCCUUUAUUCAUCCCUGAAUCUGGGCCCACAAGCAGACAGAGGCCUCUAAAGCAUCAGAGAUCCCCCUCUUUGAUGGGUCUUCAGCCCUUCACAACCCUUGAGGAAUGGCUUAGUUAUUUCGGAGACCAAGUAACUGAAUGAGGAAGCCAGAGAGACAGCUGCCUUUUUAUAUUUUUUCCCCAGCUGUAUGUCUAAACCAUCUGUGGUGGUCUGAAUGAAAACUCUCCCCAUAGACUCAUGGGAAUGGCACUAUUGGGAGGUUCGUUGUGUUUAUUUGGUAAAGGGCAGCAUGGAAUGAAAGACAAAGAAAGGCAGACACCCGAAAAUUAUGUGAGACGCGACCUCUGUAAGACAAGAACAUGGCAGGAUGACUGACUAGGUGAAGAGAAGUUGAGAAAUACAAAAGAAUAUUUAUAUAAUCUGCAGUCGAUGAAGAUAUAGAACUCUCAGCUCUUCCUGCACCAUGCCUGCCUUGUUUUAUGCCUGCCUGGAUGCUGCCAUGUUCCUGCCUUGAUGACGAUAACGGACUGAACCUCUGAACCUCGAGGCCAGUGGUGUUAAGAUCCUGCCAUCACACCGUCCCCACCGUGAUGGACUGUAGCCUCAAACCAUGAGCCUAGACACCCUUCCCUUCCUCCGGCUCUUCAUCAGAUAACAAAAGGCUCCUUGAAGGGUUGACUGUCCUGUGUUCCUCUUCUACUUGGCCCAAGCUGACUUCCACAGUGCAGGAUGAACUCUUCCCAGAAAUUCAAUUCCAGUCUCUUUGCUUGUCUCACUGCUUGCUUGAUACAUUUGUAAAGCUGCCACCCAGCAAAUAUUUAUGGAUGCCACUCUGCCAAGCACAUCACUAGAUCUGGAAGAUUCCGAGUGUGAUCUAAGCAGAGCUUUGACUCUGAUCCCGAUUACCUUCCAUAGAAGAAAAGGCAGCCAAAGGCAGAGGUGGUCGGUGAAGGGUCCUUAAGAAGGGGGAAGGGGCUCCUUUGUAAGCAUAUUUUUUGGGCAGAGAUCUAAAGAGAAGUGUGGAAGUUCCAUGAGGAAAUGCUUCUCACAUAUGCUGACCAAAAUGAAUGGCUCUUUUGAGACUUGUGUUUGAGGGUGUGUUGCGGCCUACAUAUUUUGGGUAUUUUUUUUUUGUAUCAUGUAAAAAUAGUCAUCAGUGAUUAUUAUCACAUUGGUAAUUAUUAUGAAGUGUUCUCAGCUUGGUGGGAGUAAAAUCUGCUAGACUGGAAUAAAUUUAAUUAUGUCCUCAAAUGUGACAAGAUAAGGCAAAAAAUAUCCUGGCCACUGAGAAGAGGGUGGGUGGGUUUGGCCUGGAAACUGGAAUGACUUGAAUCACAGAUGGGAUUUCAGGAUGCUAUAGGAUAAAGAUAGCCAGCAUCAUGGCUGAUAUUUGUAUCCUCCGUGGCGUUUAUUCUGAUAGCUCAAUUCAAUAAGCCUGUAUAAAGUAUAAAAUUGCCUUACCCUCAAAAAAGUUUGUAGCUUAGUGCUCGCUGACUGUCUAUCAUGUCUGUCUGUCUGCCUGUCUGUCUAGUCUAUCAUCCCUACUUCUGUGUGUAUGUGUGUGGUAUAUACAUGUGUUCUCUCUCUCUCUCUCUCUCUCUCUCUCUCUCUCUCUGUCUGUGUGUGUGUGUGUGUGUGUGUGUGUGUGUGUGUGUGUGUGUACACGUGUUCGGCCAGAGGUUGAUGUUGGAUGUCUUUCUCUACUGCCUUCCAUCUUUGAUUUUGAGACAGUGUCUCUUACUGAACCUAGAGCUCUCCAAUUUAGCAACACUGGGUGGUCACUGUGGUGAUUUGGAUAGGCAUGCCCUCCCCACGGCCCUCCAAAUUAGUGCAUAGGGAGUGACAUUAUUAGUCCAACAAUGUCUUCUUCAUACGGAGGAGCUGAGAACUUUUGGCUGCUCAGUCCUUGAGGCCGGAUACCUCAACAGUUGCAGAACCACUGGUCUGUGGUCCAUACUGGGUAGCCAGGUCGUACCAGAGCCAGCAACUGUGACAUCAGGAGAAACAAUAAAUGCACCCAGGAGGUGAAGGUGAGGAGGCUCAAUGUAACCAUUUGCCCUUGGCUCUCUUCAUUCACUGGAAUAAAUAGCUUAGUAGAAGGGUCUCCCUGGUCAUUACCUUAGGAGAUUAAAAAUAACCAUUCUCAUCCUGGUUGAAACAUAAUUCCAUGUACCUCACCCUUCUGCUGCUUUAACAAAUUAACAGAAUCAUAAGGGUUGAAAACACUGGAGGGCUGGAAACACAGCUCAGCGGUUAAGAGCACUGACCGCUCUUCCGGAGGUCCUGAGUUCUAUUCCCAGCAAACACAUGGUGGCUCACAACCAUCUAUAAUGGAAUCUGGUGCCCUCUUCUGGUGUGUCUGAGAUAGCUACAGUGUACUCAUAUAAAUAAAAUAAAAAAAUCUUAAAAGAAAAUAAAGCACUAAUUAUCUUAAAAGUUUUUCAGGUCAGAAGUUUAGAGUGAAUAUUAUGGGGCUAAAAGCAAGAUGGCGGCAGAGCUCAUUCCUCCCAGUGGUUUCAGGAAAGCAUCUACAUUCGUGCUUUUCAAGCUUCAGCGGGGUGGGGGCUGUGGGGGUCAACCUUGUGAAGGAAAACGUGGGAUGGAGAGCGAGGCACCACAGACUCCUGUGACUCCUUGAAGAGUCCUGAUCUGCCAUACAUGACACUGGAUCUAUGAUGGAUCCUGGAAGACCAGUGAGACAGAAAAAAGGAACCGAGGCCAGGAUGGUAGCUGCUUCCCCCAAAGUCCUAACAGGUGACAAGGCCCUUACCCCUUCUCAGUUGCCUCAUCAAGCAGGGCUUUCAUUGAAACACAGGGACUGUGCAGGAAGAUAUGCUUGGCCAAGGAUUUGCAAUUGGCUCAAACAUUGUAUAUAAAUUUAUGCACUGUGAAGUAAACUCCGAUCUGUACUCUAACGCUGGUCUCCAGAGUUUGGUUUCCUGGAUUCAUUCUGUGACUCUAUCACCUCUCACCCCCAUCCUUGGUCCUGUUCCCAGACAGGGGAACCCCAUAUCUCUUGGACUUACAACUCCAUCAUUCACCUUGAAGCAUCUCCCUGCAGCCUCUGCUUCUGAGAUCAGCUCUCUUGCUGCUAUUGGCUUAGAAGUUGUCUCUCUCACAUGAACCUUUGUGAUUUAGUUGGGCUCACCUAGAUAAUCUUCCUGUCUCAGAGACCUUUAAUCCUAUCCAAGAAGUACCACAUCAUAUAACAUAUCAAUAGACUGUUGAUUGAGGUAUGGAAAUAUUUGGGAAAAUAAUUCUGUAUAUGCUUCAUAGUGUUACUUUAAAGGCAUGCUGUAUUUAGUUGGUAAGUAAAAUCUAAAUAAUUUUGAUACUUUUCUUAUUUAUUGAUGCAAGAGGGCACACUAUGAAUGUGAAUGCCAACAAUAUCAGUAAGGAUGGUGAUAAGAACAGCAUACCUUUAGUUCUGUUGUUUAGUGAUGGGGCACUGAGCACUCUCAUGUAAAUUAACACGCUAAUUCUCACUACAACCAUAAAAGCCAGUGGUCAUUCAAAUGACAAGGUGGGUGAAAUGCCACCUGACAUUUUCAUCCUGUCCUCAAUUCAGUCCCACUUAGGAUGCUGCUGAGGAACAAGGAGGCAUCACUACAAUUCCUUUGCAUGGUGCUAUAAUUCUACCGUGAGUUCUACUGACCUCAACAUUACUCAUCUGGGGCCCUACAUGUCACCCUCUUGUCUCAUCUCUGUUCCCAGCUUUCUUCAUCUUGGCUUGUCCUAUCACCCUGUUUUAUUUCCUAGUCCUUUUUUCCAAGCUUGCAGGAAUGUUCAUUCCACUGUAAACACUCCCUUUUCUUAAGACAAGCAUAUGUGUAAUAGUCAGGGUUUUACUGCUGUGAAACACCAUGACCAAGGCAACUCUUGUAAGGAAAACAUUUAACUGGGACUGGCUUACAGACUCAGAGGUUCAGUCUAUUAUCAUCAAGGCAGGAGUGUAGCAGCAUCCAGGCAGACACGUGCAGGACAUCUUCAUCUGAAGGCUGCUAGCACAGUACUGGCUUCCAGGAGCUAGGAGGAGGGUCUUAAAGCCCACACCAACUGACACACCUACUCCAUGAAGGUCACACUCACUCCAACAGGGCUAUACCUUCUCAUAGUGCUACUCCCUGAGCCAAGCAUGUCUAAGCCAUCACAGUGGAUCAGAUGUAGAUGAGAACAUAUUCCAGGUUCUGUCUCUUUUGUCCUUUCAGAGAUCUUUCUCUAUUACCCUCAUAUGAAAUGGUCUUUGAGACUCUGUUUUCUUGCUGCAUCAUCUUUUUUCCUCCUAGUCAUGCUGUUUCCUGAACUUUUAGCACUUGUUCACAUUGGCCGUGAACAUCUGGCUCAGGGUAUUUUGGUAUAAUGCUGUGGACAAAUAAUUGAUCUCAGAACACUAGAACUUAUUGAUCUCAGUUUUAAUGAACUUCAACAUCAGAAACCAUUACUGAGGACAGUAAUCUUUUCACUGUGGUUGCCCAUGCUUUGUAAUUACCUAGAAUUGGUUCAUUUCUAUACUCUUAAAUUUCAUGAGCUCACUCUGCCCAUAACCUGUGACUUUUUUUUGAGACAAUGUCUCUUCUUAUGUCCUCAACUUUGUAAUUCUCUUGCUCCAAUUUCCUGAGUGGUGGGACUAGAGCUAUGGACUUCCAUACAUACUUAUCAAUCUCUCCCCGCCCCCUUCUUACGUUUUCUCUCUCUCUCUCUCCCUCUCUCUCUCUCUUUCUCCCUCCCUCCCUUCCUUCCUCCCUCCCUUCCUUCCUUCCUUCCUUCCUUUCUUCCUUCCUUUCUUUUAUUCCUUCCUUAUGCUCUCUUCUUUCCUUAUUUUGAACUGGAAUA